rnacentral:tRNA from 1 species
UCCCUGGUGGUCCAGUGGUUAGGGCUGGACAUUUUUCAUUGCCAUGGCCCAGGUUCAAUCCCUGGUCAGGGAA